GGAUCACUCGGCCAUCCUGGGUUUUAUGAAAUUCUUGCAUCUCUGGGUUUAUGCCAAAAAGAAGCCAGGAUUCUGUUUCUGGGACUUUAUAAUGCCGGCAAGACUAUUCUCCUUCACAUGUUGAAAGAUGAGAGAUUAGUUCAACAUCAACCACCUCAGCACCCAACAUCUGAGGAAUUAAGUAUAGGCAAAAUCAAGUUCAAAGCUUUCGAUUUGGGUGGGCACCAAAUCGCUCGCUGUCUGGAAAGAUUACUAUGCUAAGGUUGAUGCGGUGGUAUACUUGGUGGAUGCCUACGACAAGGAAAGAUUUGCAGAGUCGAAGAGGGAAUUAGAUGCCCUACUUUCGGAUGAGUCACUGGCCAAUGUUCCUUUUCUAAUUCUAGGCAA